AGGUGGAACUGUUCAGACCUCUGUGAACAAUGCCAUUGAUGAGGUACUUGGGUCCUGUGAAGUAUUUGAAGAAAGACAAGUUGGAAAUGAAUGGUUUAACAUUUUUAAUGGUUGCCCUUUUGGUCAAACUGCAACCAUUGUUCUCAGAGGUGGUGCAGAUCAGUUCAUUGAAGAAGCAGAAAGGAGCUUUCAUGAUGCCAUUAUAAUAGUUAGGAGAGCUUUAAAGAACUCUACCAUUGUGCUUGGUGGUGG